ensembl:lncRNA
GAAACUCCAUCCCUUCAAGGUGCUCUUGAACCCUUAACAUGCUCACAAUGCAGUGUCUGCUGUUUUAUUUAUCAUUUGCAUUCUGGCGUUUUAUGGAUAAAUAAGCUGCAAAAGUGAAUUCUGAGGGAAUGUUCUCAAUCUUGGGAUUUCUUAAGAUGCAUUGAAGACCUCCAGUCACUAGAAAAAAUGCCAACUUUAGAAAAACAACAUCUUCUCUGCUUCAUUGUGGUUUCCAUGGAUACAAUCAAUGGUCUGAGAGUCAAGGGCCAGCUCGCUGCGGCAGUUAUCAGAGCGAUUGUCCUCCUUUCCAAGGCUCCAGCAGUGCCUUCAGGCAUCUGGCCGUGUCGUACCCGUGUCUUCACAAAUACCCUUCUACAGCACCAGAUGUUUCUACACACGUCGCCGUCCAAUCGGAACACAAGUUUUCCCUCCCUGAAUCGAGUCCACCAGGUGGCAUUGCCAGAUAUUUGAGCGCGCUCCACAUGUUACUCGCAGAAUGCAGGAAGAACCAGGUGUUGAGAUCUCAGCAGGUGUGAGGACAAAGCCACCUGAUGCAAAGAGAUUAAAGCAUCUUUUUAGCGGCGCAGAGCGGAGCAACAUUGCACUUCCUCAUACAUCAUCGCAGGUUAUCCCAUCGCGUGUCUGGCCUGGUAACUAUACAAUGGAUUUUCAUUUGCUGUGUGAUCCAGUGAUUUACAGUACGCACAGUGUGUUUGACCUUAAUACAAACAUCUGGCCUCUGUGGAUAUUAUAUCAGGUGGGUGGUGUUUUUGAUGCCCUUCAGUGUGGAUAUGUCUCUUCCUUAAUUGUUCCCUGCGUGGCCAUCUCUUUCCCUCCCUUUUUUAGAAAUGAAAAAAUACUUUUUUCCAUUCCUUCAUCCUCAUGGAAAUUUUUUCUCUGUGUGCUCCCAC